GUUUACGACCAGCAUAUGCAGGAAAGACGGACAGAUUGUCUACAGCCUCUGAUGUGUUCUGGUCAUUUUACCCGAUCCUGGAUCAGACUCUUGGCUCAGGGCCACCAUCUCUGGUUCUGCAGUACUCAAGGACAUGUCAGACCCUGGUCACCGCAACACACAUACUGCCUCAGGCAGUUGCGAGAUGAGGGGGGUCUUUGGGAUGGGGAAACCAAGAGACCCUACAACCUGGUUGAGAGGUGUCAGCCCCCAGCAGCAUCCCACUCCAGGCAGAUACCAGCUCCAGUUUGCCAUCCUGCAGCAGCAGAAGUUCCAGUCCCUCCAACUGUUGGGCCAGAGCCACACCCUC